rnacentral:rRNA from 1 species
UUGAGCCUGCGUCAUCAAGUCUGCCUAACCAGCGGUACUACAACGCAUGACCUCAUUGGGGUAGGACAACCCGCUAGACUUAAGCAUAUUAAUCAGCGGAGGAAAAGAAACUAACCAGGAUUCCCUCAGUAACUGCGAGUGAAGCGGGAUCGGCUCAAUGUGUGAAUCUGGCUUGGGGUACGUCCCGGGUCCGAGUUGUGCACUACGGAUGCUUCGUCUGCGUUUGUAAAGGCGGUGGAAGUCCGUUGAAACACGGCACCUCAGAGGGUCACAGUCCUGUACCACCUGCCUGCACUCGCGCCAAUGACAAGUGCUCCUCGAGUCGCGUAGUUUUGUAAUGCUGCGCCAAGUGGGAGGUAGAGACCUUCUAAGGCUAAAUAUGAUGACGUGACCGAUAGCACACAAGUACCGCGAGGGAAAGGUGAAAAGCAACCAUGAAAAUGGGUUGAAACAGUAGUGAAAGCGCUACCGGGAUAAGGGCUAUCGGGUGCUGGGGCUCUUUGGGUGUGCUUUAGUGCUACCCUCGGAGACG